GUGGGGAAUCUUCCGCAAUGGACGAAAGUCUGACGGAGCAACGCCGCGUGAGUGAUGAAGGUCUUCGGAUUGUAAAGCUCUGUUAAUCGGGACGAAAGAGCCUAGUGUGAAUAAUGCUAGGAAGUGACGGUACCGGAAUAGAAAGCCACGGCUAACUACGUGCCAGCAGCCGCGGUAAUACGUAGGUGGCAAGCGUUGUCCGGAAUUAUUGGGCGUCAAGCGCGCGCAGGCGGAUCUGCCAGUCUGUCUUAAAAGUUCGGGGCUUAAACCCGGGAUGGGAUGGAAACUACAGAUCUAGAGUAUCGGAGAGGAAAGUGGAAUUCCUAGUGUAGCGGUGAAAUGCGUAGAUAUUAGGAAGAACACCAGUGGCGAAGGCGACUUUCUGGACGAAAACUGACGCUGAGGCGCGAAAGCCAGGGGAGCGAACGGGAUUAGAAACCCUGGUAGUCC
rnacentral:rRNA from 1 species